GCUUGAACCCAGGAGUUCAAGACCAGCCUGAUUAACAUAGUGAGACCUUCCUUUCAGGUUUCUUAUUUCUCUUGUUCCUGUCUCCUUCCUAGGUUCCCAGUGGAGGAGAUGCCAUGCUUGCAGGGCCCUUCGGCAUUUCCAGAACAUUUCCACACCAUUAUUUUAUUCUUACCACAAGUUCAGCCAGGAGACUAGGCAGGGCCGAGACUGGGGCCUUGGAAAAAGAACUUCAUGCUGAGGGGCUACACUUUCUACCUUCGUCUUACACAACAGUGAAUAGCAUUCAAAUAGGGGUAAUGGCCUUACGAAAAGCAGCCUGCUUUUUGUUAGAACUUGUCUUAAUUAAGCUCCGUAACUGGUCUUCCUCUGUUGAUGUGUUCCACCCACGGUGGCACGUGGUAUUUGAGUUAAAAUCCUGAGGUAGCCGGAAAAGGGGAGGCAGGUGGGGCCAGGCUGCAGAGAACGGCAAGUGGGUGGGAACUCCAUCCAGGUUGGGUGGGUGGCUGACGUGCUUCGGAAGAGGAGACAGAAGAGUUGUCCUACAGCCUGACAUCUCCCACCACCAAGCUGUGUGAUCACAGGCGAGUCACUUAGCCCGUCUGAGGCACACUUUCCUCACGUCUACAUGACAGGGUUGUGGGGAGGAGGCCCCAGUGCGGGAACACAGCUGACAGAACUUUUAAAAAUUGCGCUGUCACACUAACGUACUGCAUACCCAGCAGGCACGUCUGGUGAACACUCACCGUUUUCAUUGUUUGUCGGUUUGGAAUGUUAUUGCCUCACAGGUGAUUUUAUCUUUGAGGACUUUGGGUUUGAAGUUAAUGCUUACGGACACAUUGGAGAAAGGCUAAAAUGCUCACGGUUGAAAUCGUUAAAUUCAGUGAAUUAAGAUAAUAAUGAUGCUGGCUUGCCUAAGAUGAACUUUAAGUGAAGCUCAGCCGGGCACGGUAGUAUGUUCCUGUAAUUCCAGCUACUCGGGAGGCUGAGGCGGGAGGAUCGCUUGAGUCAAGGAGUUUGAAUCCAGCCUGG
rnacentral:lncRNA from 1 species